rnacentral:hammerhead_ribozyme from 1 species
AUUCAACUGACGAGUUCCAAAUGGGACAAAACGUGCGUUCUGGAU